UAUGACAUUGCAGGUCUCCAAGAUAUUCUAGUGUCUUCAUGACAUCAGAGGUCUUCCCCAGAUAUUCUACUCUCAUGACAUCACAGGUCUUCCCCAGAUAUUCUACUCUCAUGACAUCACAGGUCUUCCCCAGAUAUUCUACUCUCUCAUGA
rnacentral:lncRNA from 13 species